rnacentral:lncRNA from 1 species
GUAAGAGAAAUAAAAUUAUAACGAAAUUAUAUUGAAAUAUACUUCUCUAUUUUUUUUCGUGAGACUGUAAAAUUUAUAUUAUAAUUGAUUUAUGUUGAUUUGCAGAACUUGAUAUUACAUACGAAAGAGUAAAAAAUUUUUAUUUUUUGACUGCACGUAUUGUAAGUUUUCGACAAUCUGAAAUAAAGUUGUGAAUGAAUGAGACAACACUAAAUGAGAAUCUUGGGAUAAAAAGAAGGGGGGAAUCUUAGUGUUGGAGAGAAAAUGGUUCUAUGAAGUUUUGUGGUUAAUUUCAGAAUAAAAGUGAAAAAAAAAAAGGAACCAUUGGAAAUCAUUAAACAGAUCUAAAUGGUUAUUCCAGGUGUGACCAGUUAUGUUCUUUCCAGUUGUGAUCAGAGGUCAAAUUGGUAUGCAUAAUAUAUUAAUAUGUAUGUUUUAUA